GAUGAACGCUAGCUACAGGCUUAACACAUGCAAGUCGAGGGGAAACGAUAGAGAAAGCUUGCUUUUUCUAGGCGUCGACCGGCGCACGGGUGAGUAACGCGUAUCCAACCUGCCCAUCACUUGGGGAUAACCUUGCGAAAGUAAGACUAAUACCCAAUGACGUCUCUAGAAGACAUCUGAAAGAGAUUAAAGAUUUAUCGGUGAUGGAUGGGGAUGCGUCUGAUUAGCUUGUUGGCGGGGUAACGGCCCACCAAGGCGACGAUCAGUAGGGGUUCUGAGAGGAAGGUCCCCCACAUUGGAACUGAGACACGGUCCAAAACUCCUACGGGAGGCAGCAGUGAGGAAUAUUGGUCAAUGGACGAGAGUCUGAACCAGCCAAGUAGCGUGCAGGAUGACGGCCCUAUGGGUUGUAAACUGCUUUAUAAGGGAAUAAAGUGAGUCUCGUGAGACUUUUUGCAUGUACCUUAUGAAUAAGGACCGGCUAAUUCCGUGCCAGCAGCC
rnacentral:rRNA from 1 species